rnacentral:lncRNA from 1 species
UCCUAUAUCCAACACUCAUCACCGAGUAACUCAAUGGUAACGUAGCAGACAAUUAGUCUCUUUUUGUUCCUGCAGAAGUAAAGUAACCAUUUGUAUGAAUGACUAUUUUAGUCAAGUAGACCUUCCAUAAAGUUUGCUUUUGAAAUUAGUAGUAAAUAUGAGUACUUACAAGGAACUAAUGUUGAGUGUUUUGCUUAAAAUAUGAAAAGAACAUUCUGGGCAGGCGCAGCAGGAAAUGCAGUAGUGAUCGAGGCUGAUGCAUUCAAAGAAUCAGAUGUCAUAUACAGAGCCCUCAGCUCCAAAGGUCAUGCAGACAUGGUUCAUACAGCAGAACUGGUAAGAGUCACUUUCUCAGCCUCACCAACUUUCACUGAUAGUUUCUUUAGCAAACUGAAUGAUUUCAAUUGCAUAGGAUUAAUGGCUUUAUACAGUAGCUAGCAGUAAACAAAGUUUUCUCCCAGCAUGUACAGGUUAUAAUCUAUGGAAACAAAGAGUUUCAAUGCAUUUCCCCAUCUCAUUCACUCCACUUGGAUCCUAUGAUUGGCAUCUCUAUCACCCAAGCUGGUUGCACUUUUGGCCAAAAUUUUGAGAUCAAAUAGCUCUUGGAUUAAACUUCCUUUAUUUCUAGAAAUAACACUAGGUUGCCUUUCUAAUUUAUGUGUAUAUGUUUUAGUAAUUAACUAGACUCAAAACUAAAACAUAAAAUCCAUGCAACCUGAAGGAAAAUGAUUUAGUUGCAUUAUUAACUGAAAAUGUCAAACAUCUACAUUUAGAAAAUGCAUACCAACGGCAACCAAUUCAAAUAUUUUUCCAGCCUUUCCAUAAUGCAAGAGCCUCUGUAAUCAUUUUCUGAGCUACUCUGAGGUUGGACUUUCUUCCAUCAACCUUUAAUCAAUUAACAACAUCCCAGUAAUCCAUGUCCUGUAAUAUCUUGUCACUGCCACAUGUGGCCCUAAAAAAGUUUCCUUCCCACAUGAAUAAGUGUAUCUUUACAUCAAUAGUAAUAAAUAUUUCAUUUUUCUGUUCUCCACCAAGUCAACAUAGACUCAUAGUUCUCAAACAAAAAACUCAAUGUUAAAUGCACAAAUCAACAAAAAAAUACUUCAUAGGUAAAUGAAUAACAUGGUAACCAUAUUAAUGCUUCUCAUUGGUUUUAACAAUUGUCCCAAACAGGUGCACCAAUCAUCUACAGAUGCAGCAUCAUCCCUCCUAGUGACAGCACUCAAUGAAGGGCGGGACGUGAUCAUGGAUGGAACACUCUCCUGGAUACCAUUUGUUGUGCAAACAAUAACUAUGGCCAGAUGUGUCCAUCGCCGGCGAUAUCGUAUGGGUGUUGGUUACAAGCGAAAAGCUGACGGGACUGUAAUUGAGAACUACUGGGAGCAAAUUGAAGAAGACCAAUUGCAAGGAGGGAAAAGGAGGAAGCCAUACAGAAUAGAGCUGGUUGGGGUUGUUUGUGAAGCUUAUUUAGCGGUCAUUAGAGGCAUAAGGUACUGCACCAUGGAAAACACUAGAGACAGUUGUCUUAGUUUUAGUACGAAGUCUUUUCCCCUUUAGCUGAGAUAUUGAUUUUAUCAAGAAAUUCAAUAUUUACAGGAGAGCUAUAAUGUGUAGACGCGCUGUAAGGGUGCAGUCACAAUUGAAAUCCCACAAGAGAUUUGCAAAUGCGUUUCCAACAUAUUGCCAACUGGUUGACAGUGCUAGGCUGUAUUCCACCAAUGCUUUGGAAGGUCCACCUAAGGUGAAUUAACUAUCACACAUUUUCAAUCUUAAUUUACUUAACAGGUGACAUAAAACUGAAAGGAACACCUAGUUCACCAAAGAAUUUUAACUCUGGAACCUAAGGUCAGAACAGCUGGAACAGACUGGACCAAUCUUGAAUCACUCAGAUAGCUAUAAGUUCAUGCAAGAAAUGCUAUUUGUAAAUUGUUUGACAUUUCAAUACAGGAGGCUUUGUCUCUGGUACAAAAUUAGAUGAGGAGAACUGGCUUUCUGUUAAAGCCAUGAACCCUGCUCAAUCUUUCAGGAAGAUCAUAAGCAGGCUUACCACUAGGCUAAUUUUAUUGGAAAAAAACCAUAGUAGUAUAAAAAACAGCUGACACUGUUGUAAAGUAGAAAUCUACAAAUAGAACUCCUUUCUAGGCAUGCAAACUUGCAUUUUCUUGCAUUCCAGCCGCCUAGUUUACUCCAUUAUAAUCCUAAAACUGAAAUCUAGGAGGAAGAGAAAAUAGCCUUGUCUGUUACAGAUAACUGCAGGCUGCAGCAUGCAGGGAUAAACAAAUAAAUUGUGAAGGAACUUCAUUGCUAGCAAAAUUACUCCAUGCAACCAAUUAUGUAAUAUUAACAUGAAAAUUUUUGUAAAGUUGAUAGGAUGGAAAGAAAGAGAGAGAACCUUGCUAGUUGAUCCAGAUGAAAUUGACUGUUUAAAGAAAGUGGGCAGGCUGAAUGAAGAAGCUGAGUCCAUAUAUGAACUUUACAAGCACCCCAACCCGGCAUGUGAAGCUGGUUCAAUCUGGAAAGACAUUGUACUAUCACCUUCUAGACUAAAUAUUCAAAAGGAGCUGAAGUUUACCAUCCAGAAAGUGGAAAGAAUGACACAGCACAAAAAGAGUUAAAAGCUUAUGAAUAUUCACCAAAAAAUUUACAUGCUGAAGGUGUCUCAAACCUUUUUCUAUAGUUAUGACCAAGAAUGUCUACUAAGGUUGUAUUAAAUCAUGAAGAAUAUGUGUAAAUUUUUUGUUACUAGCUUAGCUCAGUUCAGAAUCUGGAACUGGAAAACAGAAUAUUCCCAUUAAUUGUUUCAAAUAAUCAACUAGUAUCGGUAGAUGUGGGGCUGAGCGUUGGAACUCCAAAGAGGAAUUUAAAAGUAAAAGAAAGAGCAAUUACAGCAGCAACUUAAGUGAGAUAAAUUCUUACUUCACAAUUCAAUUAACGCAGACUGUGCGUGGUUGCAAUUACCAUCAAAUCUAAAGUCAUGCAUCCACACAAACAUGCACACCUACAACAAAAGAUGAGUAUGGAUGCUAGCUUUCAAGCAAUAAAUAAGCAGAAUAAAUAUGAUAAUAACCAAAAGGAUCUGCAGCAUGGGAUAAUGCAGACCACUAUCAACGAACCUGGACAUCCCAUUAUUUUCCUUUAUUACAACUAAGAACCUAUUCAACGCUCAAAUAAAAAAUGAAUUGUUUAGCAAAUGGUUGUCAAUUGAUGACCCACCCAUAAACAUGAAGAAAAUAAUGGUAAUCCAGAUUGUGAAUGAAAUAUGUAACUAGGAUCACAAUUUAUGAUACCUGGAAGCUAAAAGUGAAGCAUUUCACAUAUUCAAAAGAAUCCCCAUUUUCGGUAGAGUGAUCCUGCAAAUACAAACCACUGUAAUAAUGAAACCACAACAAUUUUUUCCCUUUUGGAACUGUUUUAUAAAAUACCAUAUUAUAGAGCUGUUCUUGAAAAACAAUUGUUCAUAAUAGAAGCUGCUCUGAACAACAAUUGUUCUAAACAUAGUUCUUGAAAUGCAAUUAUGCUAAACAAAAGUUAUGGACAUUAGCUAUUAUCAAGAGGAGCCAUUCUAAAAUGAUAGCUACCUUGGAUGACAAAUGUUCUAAAUGAAGCCUUGUUUUGAACAUAGUUGUUUCAAAUUUAGAUUCUCAAACAAUAAUUGUUCUAAACAAUAACUAUUCUAAACAAGAGUUGUUCUUCCAGAAGAGAUAUUAAUAGAAGCAACUCUGCUACUUGUUUCGAGUUAAACUUUGUUACUAUCUUUGGAAGUGUAAGUUCCUAAAACAUAAUCUUAGUUAUCUCCGAAAAAAGAUAAGAUAUUAGUAGCCAAAACAAAGCAUCUACACACAUCUACUCCUUAAAAGGGCUGGAAAGAUUAAUGAAAGCCUUGUUAAUAUCACUGAUGUUUAGGAUUUGUAUGAGUUUUGUACAGCAAAGAACGAGAAAGAUAAAAUGGAAUCAUUGUCAGAAAUAAAAAGAAAAUAAAGAAAUUUUCAAACGAAAGCAAUCAAGAUGUAGCACCAAGGAGGCAAGUUUCCUUAUUACACCCCUCAAGAAGGUGACGGGAGGAGACACCAAUCCUGAAACAAUCCAUCUCAAAAGCAGGUCAUGGUAAGGAUUUUGUGAAGACAUCAGCAAGUUGAACACCAACAAAACUGUGAGCAACAAAAAGAUCUUCCUCAUGAAUCUUGGACUAAGCAAUAUGAUAAUUAAUUUCAAUGUGUUUCAUGGAGAGUAAAACACAAGAUUGACAAACAAAUGUAGCAUCGAGAUUAUCACAGUAAAGUGGGAGAGGAUUAGGCAAUGAAUAGACAACUCAAGAAAUAAAUUUAUGACCCAACAGAGUUAGGCAUUGGCAUUCAAGAUGGCACAAUAUUCUGCUUUUGUUGAUGACCGCGCAAUGCCCUACUGCUUGUGGGAAGCCCAAGAGAUUGGAUUUUGGCCAACAAACACAAUGAAACCACCGGUGGAGCUCUGGUCAUCCUUGUUUCAGCCCCAAUCUGCAUCAAGGAAAGCCCAUUAGAGGAGAAUCUCGAUAGAUGAAGAGACCAUGAUCAGUAGUGCCUUGAAGAUACCUCAACACAUGCUUGAGGGCUGUCAAGUCUUGUUCAGUCGGCUUGCUUGAACACUAAGCUAACUUAUUUACAACAAAGGCUAGUAUGACAAGAUACUCAUUUUGUUUCAAGAGUGAGGAAUCUUCUCCUUGACUCAGUGAGAAUUUAAGAGAUAUAUUUAUUGCUUUGGCAUGAAAUAACUUUUGCUCGAUCAGGAACAUCUAAAAUGUAGUGAUGUUAAAACAAAACUAAGCCAUCUUGCAUAAAGCAGGCUUCAAUACCAAGUAAUCUAUAUCACCAAGAGCCCUCAACAAAAACCUAUAAUUAAUAUAGCCUCAAGAAACUUAUUAAUAGUAUUCAAAUUAGGACUGCUGAUAAUGAAACCAUCAACAUAAACCAAGAGGUAAAUGAAUGCGCCUGAGUAUCUUGAAAUAAAAGGAGAAUUAUCAGAUUGUGCUGGCUUAAGACCAUAGAUAGCCUUAUGCAGGUGACAAACAUGUCAACAAACCUUGGUGGCUGGCUCGUGAAGACCUCUUCUUCUAAAGGAUCCAUUAAGGAAAAUAUUGUGAAAGUUAAUUUGUUGAAGUAGCUAACUGCUAAUCACAAGAGAAAGUAAUAUCCAGAUUAUAAUAUACUUAUGACAAUAGGUGAAAAGUAUCUCCAUAGUCAAUCUUAGGUCAUUAGCUAAAACAAUUCACAAGUUAAGCCUUGUAAUUAAUGGUGCCAUCGGGACUGAAAUCCCCAUUUACAUCCUACCACAUUCUUAACUUCUUUCGCGACCAACAACCAUGUUCCCUGUUUCUCAGGACAGUGAGCUCUGCUUGCACAGCUUGGGACCAACUGGGGCCUUUGAAGAGGCUUCACAAGUGGGAUGGAGAUUAAAGCAUCGGUUAUGGAGAAAGGUUUAGUGGUAUGGCUUAGGGUUCGUGAUACCAGAAGAAGGGCUGGAAUAACUAACUGAAGCCUUGCCAUGCACAAAUUUUGUACAGCAAAGAAUAAGAGAAUCAUUGACAAAAUAAAAAGAAAAUUAAGAAUCAUCACCAUAAAGGAAAGCAAUUAAGAGAUAAUAACAAAGAGGAAAGUUGCCUAAUUACUCCUCCAUUCAUUCAUUUUGCCCCCAACUAUAUUAACUAAUUUUUCACUCCAUGAAAAACCUAAAAGAAAAGCAAGCAAUGAAGCAUGUUAAAUAACCACGUUUAUAUGCAUCAAGGCUCGAGCACAACCCCACUCAACACAAUUCACUAAUUAGGUGAAGCUUUUAGGGUAGAAACCAAAAUCGAAAUAAAAAUGCAGCGACUCAUAUUCCAAAUAAAUGCAGCUUUAUAAUUGCUUAAAAACUAGGCAAACUUGAUAGUCACAAUUUAAACCAGGAAUGAUGAAUUUGAUCAGCCGUGCCAGUUACAUCAUUGUUCCACUUAAUCAUACGCAUUUCAAUAUUUUAGGAUCAACAAAUUCGUAAAAAACCUUAACCUUGGCUUCCAGUUUCGAAGCAGUGUAGCCGCACAGAAGCUGAAUCCUUCAGAGCAUUCCACGCAACGUCUUUCUAACAGGCCACCGUUUCUUUGAAUCUAUUCC